rnacentral:tRNA from 1 species
AUUUAAAUAGUUUAAUUAAAAUUUAAUAUUGAAGAUAUUAAGAUAAUUUUUUAAUUUUUAAAUA